rnacentral:tRNA from 1 species
GGACCGGUAGCUCAGCUGGAUAGAGCAGCUGCCUUCUAAGCAGCAGGCCAUUGGUUCGAAUCCAAUCCGGUUCACGA